rnacentral:rRNA from 1 species
UAACACGUAGGUAACCUGCCCAUGUGCCCGGGAUAACUUCUGGAAACGGAUGCUAAAACCGGAUAGGUAGCAGACAAGCAUUUGACUGCUAUUAAAGUGGCUAAGGCCAUGAACAUGGAUGGACCUGCGGUGCAUUAGCUAGUUGGUGAGGUAACGGCCCACCAAGGCGACGAUGCAUAGCCGGCCUGAGAGGGCGGACGGCCACAUUGGGACUGAGACACGGUCCAAACUCCUACGGGAGGCAGCAUG